GUCUACGGCCGUACUACAUUGAAAACACCGGUUCUCGUCCGAUCACCGAAGUUAAGCAACGUCGGGCCCGGUUAGUACUUUGAUGGGAGACCGCUUGGGAAUACCGGCUGCUGUAGACU
rnacentral:rRNA from 1 species